GCAGAUCUACAAUAGCCCAGGAUUGAAGGGUACGGCGGGUAGCCUUGGUUAGAGGUUGUUGUAGUAGUGAUAAAUUACUCGUUGCAGAGUAUAGCUGUUUGAGGGGGGUGAUUAUUUCAAGCGAGUGCGUGGGCGAGGAGGUCCACGCACUAGUUACACCUAGUUUCCAGUUUAGUUAGACAAGGGUUGAAGUUACUCGUGUUUGGUGUGUGUGUUAUUACUCGUGCAAGGGGUGUUACCGGUUAAGAAACACCCCCUCCGGGGAAUUUUGAAAUCUGUUUAUAGCUUAAUAAGUAAUUAUACUAAUUGUAUUCAUUCUUGCGUGGCACUCCGACUGUUUAUUAAAAACAUUGUCCUGUGCGGGGUUACAGGGUAGGGCCUGCCCGGUGCAGUGUUAACGGCCGCAGUAUUGUGACUGUGCGAAGGUAGCAUAAUUAAUUGCCCCAUAAUUGGGGGCUUGUUUGAACGGCUUAACGAGAUUGUUACGGAGAUUACAGUUAUCUGUGAAUUUAAUAUUGUGGGUGCGGAAUCCACAAGGCGGAAUAAGACGGAAAGACCCCAGGAUCUUUCUUUUUUGUCUGGGGCAGAUCUCAUUGCUUCAAUGGGUUUUCGUCCCGAGGAUUAAAGGGUUAAGUUACCCUGGGGAUAACAGGGUCAUAGCCCAGUAGAGGUCAUAUCGAUUGGGCGGGUUGCCACCUCGAUGUUGACUUGGGGGAGUCUGUUGGCGCAGCCGCUAGCAG
rnacentral:rRNA from 1 species